AAAUCCACAGAGCAUUUUUAUACAAGAAUUCUGAUCUGGAUGGGGUAAACCUCAGUGCACUUCCUUUCUAUUGCCUCAGUAUUACUGGAUUGAAGAAUUGCUGCUUCUUGUUAAGAGGUUCAUUCAUUCAUUACUCCCAACUUCAUUCUUAAAAGCACUGAGAAUUUCAAGUGGAGUAUAUUAAAGUUGACUGUGUUUCUUUGCAUCAUUUCUGUAUUCAAUUUUUUAAAUUCUUUCAUAUCCCUAUUGAGUGUUUUUUAAGUAAAUUAACAUGGCUCGAAUGAACCGCCCAGCUCCUGUGGAAGUUACUACAGGAACAUGAGAUUUCUUAUUACACACAACCCAACUAAUGCAACAUUAAGCAAAUUUAUAGAGGAACUUAAGAAGUAUGGAGUUACCACAAUUGUAAGAGUAUGUGAAGCAACUUACGACACUACUCUUGUGGAGAAGGAAGGCAUCCAUGUUCUCAAUUGGCCUUUUGAUGAUGGCGCACCACCAUCUAACCAGAUUGUUGAUGAUUGGUUAAGUCUUGUGAAAAUUAAGUUUCGUGAAGACCCUGGUUGUUGUAUUGCUGUUCAUUGUGUUGCAGGCCUUGGCAGAGCUCCAGUGCUUGUUGCCCUAGCAUUAAUUGAAGGUGGAAUGAAAUACGAAGAUGCAGUACAGUUCAUAAGACAAAAGCGGCGAGGAGCUUUUAACAGCAAGCAACUUUUGUAUUUGGAGAAGUAUCAUCCUAAAAUGCGGCUGCGCUUCAAAGACUCCAAUGGGCAUAGAAACAACUGUUGCAUUCAGUAAAACCAGGGUGCAUGAUGCCAUUGAUUGGAAGUGGAAGCUGAGAUGGAAUGGAAUUUGUCGUACAUAGCAGAUAGCCCGGUUGACUUGGUGAAUAAGUCUGAUGAAGCUUCCAUAGGAGUGUUGAAAAGCAGUUUCACCAGGCCAUAGGCCUGGCAGAAUUGUAGACUCUGUUCAGGUUAUGAUCAGCCUAUUUGGAUACUAGUAAAGAAUUCUUGCUGUUCAGCAUUUAAUAUGUGCUUAUAAUUUAUACCAAUUGACCUUUCCUGAAAUCAUGCUGUAUUGAGUCAUGUCAUUAAAUCUGUUUCCAUGCCAGAAUCUUACCAAUAUAUAAGAAAUUUAGAAAGACUAGGUGCCAAAAUACCCAGCACAAUACUUGUAUAUUUUUAGUAUCAUAUAGAACAAAUCCCAGGAACUAUGAACACCCUGGACCUUAUGUGGUUUAUUCCUUGCAUCAUGUCAAACAUAGAAAAUAGGGCCUAUGAGGUUUGUUUGCUCACAAUAUGUUUACAUCUCCCACAUUCAUACCAGUAUACAUUAGAUUUGCUCCCUUUUUAUUAACCAAGUCUUACAGUGAUUAUUUAAUAUCUUUCUAUAAAUCUCAUUUUAUGUUGUAGAAGGCCUCCAUUUUGAAAAUCUACAUUGUACAGAAGCACAUGUCUUUAAUGUCUCCAGACAAAAGCCUUACAGUUCAUUUUAAUGUUUGCACUUUGGGGUGCAACUUACAGGGAGGGCCUGAAAAAAGAAU